GCCGACUUAGCUUAACAGGUAGAGCAACUGACUUGUAAUCAGUGGAUCACCAGUUCGAAUCCGGUAGUCGGCACCA
rnacentral:tRNA from 1 species